GGAGGGUUGGCCGAGUGGUCUAAGGCGGCAGACUUAAGUUUAAGGCAACACUUACAGCUUGAGGUUUUAUCUGCUGAACGUAAGUUCGCGCGAGUUCGAACCUCGCAUCCUUCA